GCUAAUAUGAUAAAAAGGUACUAAGAUAAAAAUCAAUAUAUACACAUAUUGGUUAGUGUUUGAUGGGCUAGUAUUAAUUAGAGAAGUUGAGAUUUGUCAUCUUAAAACACAAUAGAAGCAUAAAUUUUCUGAGGACAGAGAUUACUCUAUUAAAGUCUGUUUUUUGGUGUCUCAAAUUCUUCAAUUUUCUAACAAUACGUGGCUUGAGGAAUAAGGGAUGUCAAUGAAGGGGAAAAAAGGAGACAAUAAAGAAGAGGGGUCAUACAAAGUGUGAAAAGUACAAGUGAUUGGUAGAGUGGCAACUUCUACUACAAGGAGAGAAGUAUGAUAGAGACAUAACACCAAGUGAAAAAAAAUUGUGAAAGUAAUGAAAUGAAAUGAAUAAAUGAUUUGUCUACAAGAAAAAAUGCAAAUGUUUAUAAGGAUAGUGACCCAAACUUCACCCUUUGUCUAAGCAAACUAAGACCCCCUUUCUCUUAGUGUGUGUCUCUCUUAUUUCCUACCCCUCAUUCAUUUUUACCUACCAUGAACUUCAUCUACACCCUCUUUUCCUCAUGGGGUGGCUUCAAUCCCUCUUCUCUCCAUUGAAGAAGCUUUGGUUUCGUCUUCACUCUGCUCCUAAAAAGAGAAGAGGGAUAUAUAUACUCUACGAGGAUGUUAAAUCUUGCCCUUGUGAAGAUGUUCAAGUGCUUUGGUCCAUAUUAGUGGAGUCUCAUCCACAUCCUUUGCCACCACGAAAAUGAGGGUCAUUACAUGAGCACAAAAAAAAAAAAAAAAAAAAAAAAGAUAUACAGUCACAUGUACAUGUAUCACACCACUUUUGUCCCAACAUAGCUUUUCUUUUUCUUUUCUUCUUUGUAUUUGUUUCAAGUUUCCAAUCUUUUAUGAGUGAGGUCCAUCUGAGAAGUCUUUAAAUUAUUGAAA